AAGUCGAACGGGAUCCAUUGGUGCUUGCACUUUUGGUGAGAGUGGCGAACGGGUGAGUAACACGUGAGUAACCUGCCCUUUUCUUUGGGAUAAGCCUGGGAAACUGGGUCUAAUACUGGAUGUUCCGGCUUCCUCGCAUGGGGUUGUUGGGAAAGGUUUUUUCUGGAUUGGGAUGGGCUCGCGGCUUAUCAGCUUGUUGGUGGGGUGAUGGCUUACCAAGGCUUUGACGGGUAGCCGGCCUGAGAGGGUGGUCGGUCACACUGGGACUGAGAUACGGCCCAGACUCCUACGGGAGGCAGCAGUGGGGGAUAUUGCACAAUGGACGCAAGUCUGAUGCAGCGACGUCGUGUGGGGGAUGAAGGCCUUCGGGUUGUAAACUCCUUUCGCCUGCGGAAAAGGCAGGGUUUUGGCCUUGUUGAUGGUAGUGGGUAAAGAAGCGCCGGCUAACUACGUGCCAGCAGCCGCGGUAAUACGUAGGGCGCGAGCGUUGUCCGGAAUUAUUGGGCGUAAAGGGCUCGUAGGCGGUUUGUCGCGUCUAGCGUUUAAGGCUCGGGCUUAACCCGGGUUUGCGUUGGGUACGGGCAGGCUUGAGUGCGGUAGGGGUAACUGGAAUUCCUGGUGUAGCGGUGGAAUGCGCAGAUCUCAGCGAGGAACACCGGUGGCGAAGGCGGGUUACUGGGCCGUUACUGACGCUGAGG
rnacentral:rRNA from 1 species